CAAUUCGUCAGUAUCUCUGCAGAAGUAGAGCCCGGGCGUGACCUCCUGCGGCUGCUCACAGAAGAUGGUGGCGCGCAGGCGCAGAACUUCCCUGGGGCCGGCGUCCAGCACGUCAGAUUUGCUCGGUGAACCCACCCUCUGUUCCUGCGUGAGGUGACAGUGUCCACAAAACACAGAGGAGGGUGUGUUAUACAGAGCAGUUGUAGGCAGGUGCAUGUGAGACGCCGCUGUGAAAGGCUGGUGGUCAGCCCUGGACUCAGUAACCACGGGAGAUCUCCGCUCUCGGAAGGCUGCCUGGAGCCGGUUAGUGAAAGCUCCGGAAGUGAAGCAGCCAGCAGCAAGAGUGGCUCCGGGGCAAAAGAAAACUUCAGCACAGCUCGCAGGCCAGUAUUCCCGGAGCAUGUUACACACCGACACCGGCUGUGUGUUCAAUUAACCAUGGCAGGAGCUGCUAGCACCAGCUUCUCCCAGGUUCUCUUCAGAUUUAUGAUAUAAAUGCCACCACUUUCCCUUUGGUAGAUGUGCUGUUCCAUUUGGAUGUCAAGACUUGAAACUAGAACUUAUCUGAAGUUUCCAAAUCUAUGUUGAAAGGAAGAGGAUUCUGAAAGCCCCUGACUUUUUAAGGAACAUGGCAAAUAACAAGUGUGACUGUGAAGUGAACCUAUGACUGGAAACUGAAGCCAGAAUCUCUGCAUUCCUUGCAAGUACCCAUGGUUCCUUUAAUUAUAUUCCGGGCUUGUAAACAGGAAAGUGUUUCACAGAUGUAGAAAAUCCAAGAGAUUUUAAAGAUGGGAGAAUGAUGUUCAGUUUCCCUGUGUGACAAAGCUUGGAAAAUGGAAUAAAGGAACUGCCUCAUGGGAGAGAGUGAGGCUGAAGCCGUCGCACAGAAGCAGCAGAGCUGGAGGCAGAAAGGCUAUGAAUAUUAUGUUGUUAUCUGCAUUUCUGAGUUAAGUCUAAAAGCAAAUGUGACUGCAAAACAGAUGACUGAAAUGAACCCAUAGAAAAUGUAAGAAAGAAAAUUCUUCUAACUCUGAAUUCUGACCAGGAAUUACAGCAAGUAACAAGGAGCAAAGGUAUCAAGCUGGUUGGAGAAACUGGAAUAUUUAGAUGAAGCAUUCAGUACAGAGAGUUCCACUUGAUUUGCCUACCAGGAAUGAUGAAAACUAUGAAACGUCUUGGCUUAAAAGAAAGUUGAAUGUCUAAGGAAAUUAAACUGCAAGUUGCCAUAAAAUAAUCUCCUCUUUCAAAGAAGACAAUGAAUAAUAUAUUGAAUUAUUAAAAAUUAAUAUAAAGAGUCAAUUUUAAUUGGCUUCAAUUUUGAGGUUAAUAGGUAUUAACUUUCAUUUUUAUAAAAUAUGUCCACGUUAAUGACUCCAAGAUCUAUUGUUUGAGAGAUUUUCCCGAGGCACAUGAAGCUAAGGUUGAAAGCAGUUAAGGGUGCUUGAAUUCCUUUACAAGCCUAUUAUAAGCCAAUAUUCAAUCAAAACGAUUAUUGCUAGCCAUUAAAAAAUCUACCAAGUAUCAAGGGUAAUAACUCUUGCAUGUUAUUACUGGGAAUUCCUACAAAGCAAAAGGCUUUUGUAUUGCUGUUUGCAAAGACUGCUUAAUUUAUUUGAUGUCCUUGGGAAAAAAAAAAAAAAAUCUGCUCAACCAGGAAAAAAAAAAAAAAAAAGAGUAGUUUGUCCCCAUUAUCUCUGAACAAGAAGUGUCAGGAAGCUUCAGGCUAGAAUUAACAUGAGAUAGGCUAUUAGAGUUGUAAGAGCAUUUAGCAGCCUUCCCUACUGACUUCGGGGUGAUAAUAUAUACAGCCCCCUGUAAUCUGUCUCCUCUGCUGCUCUUUGCCUCUCUCCUCCUCUCCUUCUUUACUAAUAUACAUGGCUUAUUAUAAAGCACGGUAAGUAAACAGCUGCAUUUUUCUACUGAAGUGACACCAUUAGUUGGAGUUUUACCUUCGGCAAAGUCAUAUAAAGAAUCACUGCUUAAAUGUAACCAUUUUUAAAAAGCCAAACACAACAUUCAAGCAUAGAAAUUUUCCAUGACCCAUGCUCUAGAAAGUCAACUGUAUCUAGUAUUUGCACUAGAAAAGUUUUCACAUGUUGCUAAUUUUCACAAAUGAGGAAUGCGAAUUUAGUCAAGUUGAAGAAAAUAAUUGCUUAGAACUAGUAUCGAAUAAUUCAUGAAAUAAAAUGCAGUAGUGUUAACAAGAGUUGAAGAAUGUAUCUGGAUGAUUCAGAGUACCAGUAAUUAUUAAUGUAAAUAAUAAUGUCCGCCUGGAACUGAGUAUGGUCCAAAGCACAUUUAAACCAAGGCAGCCUUUUCUUUUCUUGAAACAUGUAAGACAGAAUGUACCAGAAGUGAUAUUCGAACAUUUUUAGUACGUAUAUUUCUCCUAGCAUUUCUAGCUUAAUUUCCCUUAAAUUGAUAUUAAUAAUUUGGAAAUUAACAAUGCAGAGCAAAACAAAAAUGACACAAGCAUGUAACUCAAAAUUUAUUAAAGCUUAGGCAGCAAAAUAUCUAACGAAUAACAAGAAUCUAUGGACAUUUCUUUUAAUUCAGUUGUUUUCAACCUUGGCAUUAUUGACAGAGGGGUACAAUGCUUCGUUGUAACAAACUGUUCAAUGAUCACAAUCCCUCUUAAGUGGAAGACCUAGUCGAAAUCCGGCAAUGUUUUAUUACAACAUUAACAUGGGAAAAGAAGCUAUCAUCAAAUUCUCACUCGCAAAAUUCAAUUUGUUUUAAGAAGAUAAUACACAUACUAGCUGAAAUAAGACACAGCUGGGCUUCACCUAUAUUUCCUAUAUACUUCCUGGGAAAAUGAAAUAUUGUUACAAAUAGAUGAGAAGUUUGGGAUCCAAAUACCAAAUACUAAAAUUGAUAAAUACCACUGUCUUCGUCUGCUUGGGCUGCUGUAGCAAAAUACCAUAGACAUGGUGGCUUAAACAACCGAAAUGUAUUUCUCAUCGUUAUAGAGGCUGUAAGUCUGAGCGCAGCCUUACAGUUCUGAUGAAAGCUCUUUCCCCAGCUUGUGGAUGGCUGCUUUCUUGGUGUGUACUUACAUGACUUCUUUGUGUGUUCAAGGUGAAAGAGAAAGCGAGUUUGCUGGUGUCUCUUCCUGUCAGGGCACUAAUCCCAUGUGAGAAAUGAAUCCUUCAGAUCUCAUCUAAACCUUACUACCUCCUGAAGGCCCCAUCUCUAAAUGCCGUCACCCUGGAGGGUAGAACUUCAGUAUAUGAAUUUUAGGAGAACAUAAACAUUCAGUCCAUAACAACAAUUAAAUUCCUAGCUUAGAAAUGACAUGUUUGUUGAGAUAAGAAGUAAAAAGUAUCUGUUUCUCUUUUCCUGGAAAGUCAGAGAAAUGAUUACUGUCAGUUACUUUUUAGUAUAUUUGUACACACAUGCACUAUGUUCAAAUUAGAUGCACAUUAUCAAUACUAGCUGACACUUUUAUUGGUAUAGUUAAAUCUGAAUUAUUCUGGGUCUUGAACCUGUCAUCAGUUUGUGUUUUAUUCAUGUGUACAUAAAAUAAAGAGAUAAAAAGAAAAGGUACAAAUUCAUUUACCCAAAAAUCACAUGGCAUCACAAAAACUAUGUAAAACAGCUUCUUACUAUUUAUUAUAAAACUAAUCUAUGACGUGAAAUGACUGGAUGUGGUUACUUUGGGACAAGGGGAAGGGAUAGUGACUCUAAGGGGGUGUAGAAGGGUAGGUCUGAGAAGUCCCCCUGAGUGAGGAGUGACUGAGAGUGAUUCUAGGGGGAUUAUUUAUUUAUUUAUUUAUUUAUUUAUUUAUUUAUAAUUUUCUUAAAUGUUUAUUUAUUUUUGAAAGAGAGAGACAGAGUAUGGGGAGGGGCAAAGAGACA